CCUACGGGGUGCAGCAGGCGCGAAAACUUUACAAUGCGGGCAACCGUGAUAAGGGAACCUCGAGUGCCUGUAUAUGCAGGCUGUCUGGGUGUCUAAAACACACCUAAAGAAAGGGCCGGGCAAGACCGGUGCCAGCCGCCGCGGUAAUACCGGCGGCUCGAGUGGUGGCCACUUUUAUUGGGCUUAAAGCGUUCGUAGCUGGGUUAUUAAGUCCCUUGGGAAAUCCGACGGCUUAACCGUCGGGCGUCUAAGGGAUACUGGCAAUCUUGGAACCGGGAGAGGUGAGGGGUACUUCGGGGGUAGGAGUGAAAUCCUGUAAUCCUCGAGGGACCACCUGUGGCGAAGGCGCCUCACCAGAACGGCUUCGACAGUGAGGGACGAAAGCUGGGGGAGCAAACCGGAUUAGAUACCCGGGUAGUCCCAGCCGUAAACGAUGUGCGUUAGGUGUAUCGGUGACCACGAGUCACCGAGGUGCCGAAGGGAAACCGUGAAACGUACCGCCUGGGAAGUACGGUCGCAAGGCUGAAACUUAAAGGAAUUGGCGGGGGAGCACCACAACAGGUGGAGCCUGCGGUUUAAUUGGACUCAACGCCGGAAAUCUCACCGGAUAAGACAGCUGAAUGAUUGUCGGGCUGAAGACUCUACAUGACUAGCUGAGAGGAGGUGCAUGGCCGUCGUCAGUUCGUACUGUGAAGCAUCCUGUUAAGUCAGGCAACGAGCGAGACCCACGCCAACAGUUGCCAGCAUGGCCUCCGGGCUGAUGGGGGACACUGUUGGGACCGCCUCUGCUAAAGAGGAGGAAGGAAUGGGCAACGGUAGGUCAGCAUGCCCCGAAUUAUCCGGGCUACACGCGGGCUACAAUGGGCAGGACAAUGGGUAUCGACACCGAAAGGUGAAGGCAAUCUCUUAAACCUGUCCGUAGUUCGGAUUGUGGGCUGUAACUCGCCCACAUGAAGCUGGAAUCUGUAGUAAUCGCGUUUCAACAUAACGCGGUGAAUGUGUCCCUGCUCCUUGCACACACCGCCCGUC
rnacentral:rRNA from 1 species